UACGUAGGGGGCAAGCGUUGUCCGGAUUUAUUGGGCGUAAAGAGCGUGUAGGCGGCCCCGUUAGUCCGCUGUGAAAGUCCAGGGCUCAACUGGAAUGCCGGUGGAUACUGCGGGGCUAGAGUCCGGAAGGGGCGAGUGGAAUUCCCGGUGUAGCGGUGAAAUGCGCAGAUAUCGGGAGGAACACCGGUGGCGAAGGCGGUUCUCUGGGCCGUGAC
rnacentral:rRNA from 1 species